rnacentral:tRNA from 1 species
ACACUCAUAGCUUAAUAGGAUAGAGCAUCUGGCUUCGAACCAGAGGGUUAGAGGUUCGAGUCCUCUUGAGUGUA